rnacentral:rRNA from 1 species
AGUGUAGGGUUCCUAGCGAGCCCAACCUCCCACCCGUGUUUACUGUACCUUAGUUGCUUCGGCGGGCCCGCCAUUCAUGGCCGCCGGGGGCUCUCAGCCCCGGGCCCGCGCCCGCCGGAGACACCACGAACUCUGUCUGAUCUAGUGAAGUCUGAGUUGAUUGUAUCGCAAUCAGUUAAAACUUUCAACAAUGGAUCUCUUGGUUCCGGCAUCGAUGAAGAACGCAGCGAAAUGCGAUAACUAGUGUGAAUUGCAGAAUUCCGUGAAUCAUCGAGUCUUUGAACGCACAUUGCGCCCCCUGGUAUUCCGGGGGGCAUGCCUGUCCGAGCGUCAUUGCUGCCCAUCAAGCACGGCUUGUGUGUUGGGUCGUCGUCCCCUCUCCGGGGGGGACGGGCCCCAAAGGCAGCGGCGGCACCGCGUCCGAUCCUCGAGCGUAUGGGGCUUUGUCACCCGCUCUGUAGGCCCGGCCGGCGCUUGCCGAACGCAAAUCAAUCUUUUUCCAGGUUGACCUCGGAUCAGGUAGGGAUACCCGCUGAACUUAA